rnacentral:pre_miRNA from 1 species
CAGGUACUCCCUCCGUCCGAAAAUACUUGUCAUCAAAAUAAACAAAAAAUGAUGUAUCUAAAACUAAAAUACAUCUAGAUACAUCCCCUUUUAUUCAUUUUGAUGACAAGUAUUUUCGGACGGAGGGAGUAGAUG